rnacentral:rRNA from 1 species
GACGAACGCUGGCGGCGUGCCUAAUACAUGCAAGUCGAACGAGAGCGACUGGUGCUUGCACUGGUCAAUCUAGUGGCGAACGGGUGAGUAACACGUGGGUAACCUGCCCAUCAGAGGGGGAUAACAUCCGGAAACGGAUGCUAAAACCGCAUAGGUCUUCGAGCCGCAUGGCUUGAAGAGGAAAAGAGGCGCAAGCUUCUGCUGAUGGAUGGACCCGCGGUGCAUUAGCUAGUUGGUGAGGUAACGGCUCACCAAGGCCGUGAUGCAUAGCCGACCUGAGAGGGUGAUCGGCCACAUUGGGACUGAGACACGGCCCAAACUCCUACGGGAGGCAGCAGUAGGGAAUCUUCCGCAAUGGACGCAAGUCUGACGGAGCAACGCCGCGUGAGUGAAGAAGGUUUUCGGAUCGUAAAACUCUGUUGUUAGAGAAGAACAAGUGCUAGAGUAAAC